AUAAUACUUCCUCCGUCCCAAAAUUCUUGUCUUAGAUUUGUCUAAAUACGGAUGUAUCAAGUCACAUUUUAGUAUUAGAUACAUCUGUAUCUAGACAAAUCUAAAACAAGAAUUUUGAGACGAAGGGAGUACUAA
rnacentral:pre_miRNA from 1 species